rnacentral:rRNA from 1 species
UACGGGAAGGGGACUAGCGUUGACUCGGAAUCAGCUAGGGCGUAAAGGCACGUAGGCGGUGAAUCGGGUUGAAAGUGAAAGUCGCCAAAAAAGUGGCGGAAUGCUCUCGAAACCAAUUCACUUGAGUGAGACAGAGGAGAGUGGAAUUUCGUGUGUAGGGGUGAAAUCCGUAGAUCUACGAAGGAACGCCAAAAGCGAAGGCAGCUCUCUGGGUCCCUACCGACGCUGGGGUGCGAAAGCAUGGGGAGCGAAACAGG